rnacentral:lncRNA from 1 species
AAAAAUUAAUAAUAAUAAUAAUAAUGUAGAUGUGUGUCGUGUAGUCGAGUUUAAAAGAAAAAAAAAACAAGGAUGCGUGUGGAGAGAUCGACAGAUUUUGAUUACUAAAAUGAAUAGAUUUAGAAAAAAAAUAAUAAAUAAAUAAAAUAAGAGUAGUAUGAUUUUAUGGAACGGUGAAGAGAAAAAAUAAUAAUAAUGUAGAUGUAUGUUGUAUAGCAAGGGGUUUAAAAGAAAAGAAAAGAAAAUCCAGGAAAUAAGGAAGAAAAAAAAGGUGUCAUUAUUAUAAUAAUAAUAAUAGAUGUAGUUAGUGGCUUGGAGUAAGGGUGUUGCACAGUCCUUGAAAGUAAUAGAUAUAUAUAUAAUGGGGUGUGGGGG